rnacentral:misc_RNA from 1 species
AGCUUCCUUCAACGAAGAAAUGAGAAUGAUGUAUCAAGAUGGCAAUUGAAGACCCACUAACGAUUCGUAUUAAUAAAAAGCUUAGAGACCAAUGUCAUGUAUCCUCUGAUUGUUGCAUUUUUAAAGUGCCUAGUGAUCUACGAAGCGUGAAUGAAAAGGCAUAUGAGCCGCAGAUGAUUGCAAUUGGUCCAUAUCACCACGGCAAAGAUCAUUUAAUUGCCAUGGAAGAGCA